rnacentral:misc_RNA from 1 species
GGUGCUCCUUACAGUGACAGCACUGGCAGUGUUGAGAGUAUAAGCACCACCAGCCUUCACCUUCCCGCAGUCUUUGCAACCCCAAAUCCCUACUGCCUUUCUUUUCACAGAAUACUUUCCACAAAACUCACAGAAAUACUUCGCAUGCUGGGACACUUCCAUCUUCUUAAUUUGCUUUCGCAAACUGGCACCAUAUCUAGUACCAUAUUUGCCAACAAUCCCAGCCUUCUUAGUGCGC